GGGAAAAUAGCUCAGUGGUAGAGCAUCGGUUUCUUAACUCAAAGGUCGUGGGUUGGAUCCCCGGCAUCCCCA
rnacentral:tRNA from 1 species